GUGACUUUCAUUCAAGAUGGCGGCUGGAGAGGAGCGAGAUUCGCCAUGUGCUUACGUCUUUCAAAACGCUUUUCGCUUGUAAAUUAUCGGGUUAAGACUUAAAACAGGUUUAUCCUCGUAGGAGAAGAUAAUACAGCAUUCAUGGUCUACUUUUUAUGUGCAUUUCGAGAUUCAAGCUGAUUUUACGAGAGAUUUGCGUUAAAAUUCUCGAUUUUCAUUCAAGAUUUGACACAGAUCCGAUAAGAAAACAGACAAGUUUGCCGUGAAAAAUACCAUUCUGUCAGGUAGAAUGUUUGCAUUUAUUUCUGUUUCCAUCGUAAUAGUCAAUUCAGAGCUUAAAACGGACCCUACUGCUCCGAUAUUCUGUCGCGAAAACGAUUUUCGAGCUCAUCCCGAAACCUGGUUACAUUGUGGUACUUCUUCGUUUCGGGGACCGUCUCGCCCUGGCCGUCAUCAUCGUCGCCCUCCCCGUCGUCCUCGUCAUCACAUUCAUCGUCUUAGCAAACCACUAUUGAACGACUCCGAAAGUUGUGCAAGUUUGUCCAACAAAUUUGGCAAGCAAAUCGGACAUGUUUUACGGUGACAUUCUCGGUGGAAGGAGUGACCGCAUGUCAGAAGCACGUGCUCUGAUCCCACACUUUGACAACCGAUGAAGUCGCACACUUUGGCUGGAUCCGGUUGCUCAAAAUUCCAAGCAUACCCCAAGGGAAGGCUUCGCUGGUCAGCCGUAGCGUCCAGUGGCGCUCAGGAUGGUUCCCUCAACUCUAGCAAGUGCUGGCAUCUGAUGUUUGUGGUAGAGCAUGUCACUUAGCUGAGCCAGUGUCGCCUGGUCGUAAUGCCUCCGGCAGUGUAUAACAAACAUCAUUGCAACAUGCAACAAGGAGUGUUGAUAUUCUUCAAGGUUGCCACAACAGAAAACAACAGGAUAAAAGUAGAACACCAGAGGCACAAUCUCAUCUAGUAGGUGGGAGGGCAGCGAGAUAUGGCUGUAUGAGAUAAUCCUCCAGGAACGUGCUGAAUUCUCUCUGGAGUGCAGUGAUGUUGAUUCCUCCUCUGCAGACAUUCCCAUUAACUGUGACCUCCUGGUGCUGGACUGUGGAUUCGGGCCUAGGUACUGCCUCGGCUUCUUGAAUGUCAAGAAGCUCAGUUGCCAUGUGCAAUGUUGUACUGGUCACAGCUGCUUUUGGGUCCUGAACAGUGUGGAUGACGUGGAAGUCGUCAAUUAUUGAAAGCGUGAAUUUCUUGUUCUGGAAGAAAAAAACUGGCACAUGUAAAACAUGGUAUAACUAGUUCACUCUGUGAAACAGAGUACCUUGUGCUGAUGCUUCAAACCUUACAAUAGUUUUUUUACAGAGCAAAAAAAUAAAGGUUAAAAUCCAGUAAAACUACAGUACUUUGUUUUCAAAAAGGCAUUCAACAUACAAUAUAAAUCUUAUGUUGAUUUAUUGACAUGUAGAAACAGUUUUUCAAAGUUUGCACUCAAAUACUGUAAUGGAGCUGUGUCUGACUCUUUACAGUGCAACCAGUAAAACUGAACUUCUAAAAUAUGUGUGGAAUGUUUAUUUUCUUCGAAUGAAUCAGAAGUGGGAAUUCAACUCAGAGACUUAAUAGAUAUGUUCCUAUUUGGCUGUUUGAAUAUCUCUUGAGUAAUUGGUUGUAACAAACAUCCAUACAUAUUUCUGCUGUCCAUGGUUUUAUGUACUGGUUAAGCUGUAUUUGUACUGUACCUGCAUGGCCUUAUUGAUCUUGAAUUUGGUGAUAUCAGCACUUUUCACGGCAAGGUCCCUUUUUUUGCUUUGCACUGUGCGAGGGUGAGGGGAAAAUCCCAUCAUGCUUCCUGACAUCAGUCCUUGCUGGGAAGUGCCACAGGCAGAGAGAAAGACUCCACAAUCAACUUGCAGCUGGUUGAUUUUCUAACAAAUUGAAGAAUGUUAUAAAAAAAAAAACACUGCUUGAAAUGUAGCACCAGCCCAUCUUUUGUGAAAAGACAAAAAAUUCAGACUAAAUACACUUUGUUUGUAUGAAAAUACAUAGACAUAGAAACAUAGAGUACUUGACUUCUGAAAAAUGAGAGGAUAUGCAGGAUUGCUCUCUGCUUGUUCUGUUUUCUUCUCUCCUCUCCAUGUUGAGGGCUGGUGAUGGUCUCAUGUAUCAUAUCAAAUAAGCCUGGUGCACAUUUUUCUGUGAAGCUUCGGAAAGUUUGGGCAUCAUAGAGAGGUUGGCCAUUAGAGAGGUAGUGCUGAGUCAGUGAAUGGUGGAAGCCCUGGAAUAAUCUCUUAAAUGGUGGAGAGGCUGUUGGGGAAAUUAAAUAUACUGUAGUAAAAUUUUCAAUUAUUUAAUUAUAUUUAAGUAGUAUAUUUCACUAAAUUUAUUUGUCUCUUUACUUUAUUUAUUUAAUUGUUCUUUAUACGAAUAUUUAAUAAACUCAACUCGCAUUGAA